CCCCACUAGGAUAGCAGGUAGGCUGAAUUCAACCAAAGAAAAAGCCAACGUGUUCCUCUGAGGGUGCUCAAACUUCAACUGCACAACCACCACACAAAUCAUGGAGCUGAAUUAGGAACCGAUCCAUGGAUAUAUCCAAUCUUAACAACAAGAGCAGUGAGUGCUUUGUUGAAGAAGGAAAAAAGUCGGGUUAUGGUAUCCUAUAUUAUCUUUACCAGAAUAAGAAUAAGACUUCUGAGAGAAAGAAGGAUUAGAUCGGGUAGUCAAAAAGUUACAGAACAAUCCUUUCUUCUUGCAGUUCGGACAUCUACAGCAGUGAGCUAAAAUCCAUAUCCAACAAGUGGGCUAAAUGUACCAUGUCAUUGGGUCAAACCCAAUCAGCAGGCCGAAGAGGCCAGAUGCUGGGCCAAACUUGGCCUGAUUCCUUCAUCCACUCUACUGUUUGGUUUUAAGGUCAGUUCUCUUCAAACCCCCCCUCUCUCUCUCUCUCUCUCUCUCAGCUCUGUUGCCUAAUGCCAUGUCCCUCUUAACGAACAAUUUUAGUUCUUCUUUCACUUUUUGCAUAUAUAUAUAUA